GGUCAAGUUAAGUUUAAUUUGGUAAAAAAGGAAGUUAAAUUAAGGGGGUAAAAAGAAGAUUAAUUUAGCGUGAAGGGGUGGAAUCCGUACACGGUAAGUUGUACUGUUACUUCUUUUUUUUGAUGCUUCGAAAACUAAGUGAGAGACCGGGAUUAGAUACCCCGUUAUUUUUUUUGUAAAUUUUGAUUAUUGCUAAUUUACCUGAGUAUUACGGGUUAAAAUAUCUUCAUGAUAAUAGAAUUUGGUCAUGGUGUUAUUUAGAUACUUAAAACUCAAAAAACUUGGCGGUGCCUUAUUUCCUCCCAGGGGAACCUGUCCUGUAAUCGAUGAUCCACGAUUAAUCUUACUUUUUUUUGAAUUUAUGUAUGUCGUACUAUCAGUUUGUAUACCGUCGUCGUCAGAUUACCUUUAAGAGUUAAAAAGUUGUCUGGUAAAUUGGGAAUUUAUUUAUACGUUUGUUUAAGGUGUAUAAUUAAAUUUAAUUUUUGAUGUCAGAUCAAGGUGCAGCUUAUAGAAAAGUAGAGAUGGGUUACAAUAUAGAUUUUAUAAUAUGGAUACUAGCUUGAAAUAGCUAGGUGAAAGCGGACUUGGAAGUAAUUCUUUUAGUAGAUUAAAUUAGUAAGUUUGUGUGAAUAAAGGUACUAAGGUGCGC
rnacentral:rRNA from 1 species